CAGCAGCCACGGUAAUACGGAGGGUGCAAGCGUUAAUCGGAAUUACUGGGCGUAAAGCGCACGCAGGCGGUCUGUCAAGUCAGAUGUGAAAUCCCCGGGCUUAACCUGGGAACUGCAUUUGAAACUGGCAGGCUAGAGUCUUGUAGAGGGGGGUAGAAUUCCAGGUGUAGCGGUGAAAUGCGUAGAGAUCUGGAGGAAUACCGGUGGCGAAGGCGGCCCCCUGGACAAAGACUGACGCUCAGGUGCGAAAGCGUGGGGAGCAAACAGGAUUAGAUACCCCAGUAGUCCCUGUCUCUUAUAC
rnacentral:rRNA from 1 species